AAAAUGAGUGACAGGGAUGCAUUUUAUACUGUGUGUACUGAGUGGUGUCAACCAGAUGAGGCUCAAGAGGUCAUGGUAGAUAUGUUUGGGCAUUUGGCAACACGAUCAGACCUACAAGCACUGGGUCCCAGAAGGUGGAUAAGCAACAGGAUCAUGACUCUGAUUGCCCACACCUUGAACGCUGACCAACAGGAGAGUGCCUCUGCGGUUAAAAGA